rnacentral:lncRNA from 1 species
AAACUAUUGGUCCAAGUUGGUAACCGGAAAACCUGACAAAUUGCCUUUUAUUUUGUAUAACUUAGCAACUGCCAAAUAUGGUACAAAUAUUUUAUGGUUAAAACAAGUCAAAUCAAUUUUAGACACGUGUGGCUUGUCAUAUGUAUGGGACAAUAUCUUUUUUGUAAAUAAAACAUGGCUACAUGUAACCAUCAAACAGAAUUUAAUAGAUUAAUUCAAACAAAAAUGGCUAGCAAAGCCUACAUGAAUCACCAAAAGCAUUAAAUUAUCGUUUAUUUAAAGAUACUUUGGAGUUUGAGAAAUAUUUAAAUAUUUUGGAUGACAGGCAAAUAUCCUUAUUUCUUUAAUUUAUAACUUUGAACAUGAAAUUUCCAAUAGAAACUGGAAGAUGGCAAAACAUAGAAAGAGAAAACAGAAAAUGUGUAUUGUGUAAUUCAGAUGCCAUUGGUGAUGAAUACCAUUACAUUUUUAAUUGUUCAGCUUUUGAUAACUGUAGAAAACAAUGUAUUGCAUUUUACUAUAGAAAUAGACCAAAC